CAGGCUUAACACAUGCAAGUCGAGGGGCAGCAUGGUCUUAGCUUGCUAAGGCCGAUGGCGACCGGCGCACGGGUGAGUAACACGUAUCCAACCUGCCGUCUACUCUUGGACAGCCUUCUGAAAGGAAGAUUAAUACAAGAUGGCAUCAUGAGUCCGCAUGUUCACAUGAUUAAAGGUAUUCCGGUAGACGAUGGGGAUGCGUUCCAUUAGAUAGUAGGCGGGGUAACGGCCCACCUAGUCUUCGAUGGAUAGGGGUUCUGAGAGGAAGGUCCCCCACAUUGGAACUGAGACACGGUCCAAACUCCUACGGGAGGCAGCAGUGAGGAAUAUUGGUCAAUGGGCGAGAGCCUGAACCAGCCAAGUAGCGUGAAGGAUGACUGCCCUAUGGGUUGUAAACUUCUUUUAUAAAGGAAUAAAGUCGGGUAUGGAUACCCGUUUGCAUGUACUUUAUGAAUAAGGAUCGGCUAACUCCGUGCCAGCAGCCGCGGUAAUACGGAGGAUCCGAGCGUUAUCCGGAUUUAUUGGGUUUAAAGGGAGCGUAGAUGGAUGUUUAAGUCAGUUGUGAAAGUUUGCGGCUCAACCGUAAAAUUGCAGUUGAUACUGGAUAUCUUGAGUGCAGUUGAGGCAGGCGGAAUUCGUGGUGUAGCGGUGAAAUGCUUAGAUAUCACGAAGAACUCCGAUUGCGAAGGCAGCCUGCUAAGCUGCAACUGACAUUGAGGCUCGAAAGUGUGGGUAUCAAACAGGAUUAGAUACCCUGGUAGUCCACACGGUAAACGAUGAAUACUCGCUGUUUGCGAUAUACUGCAAGCGGCCAAGCGAAAGCGUUAAGUAUUCCACCUGGGGAGUACGCCGGCAACGGUGAAACUCAAAGGAAUUGACGGGGGCCCGCACAAGCGGAGGAACAUGUGGUUUAAUUCGAUGAUACGCGAGGAACCUUACCCGGGCUUAAAUUGCAGAUGAAUUACGGUGAAAGCCGUAAGCCGCAAGGCAUCUGUGAAGGUGCUGCAUGGUUGUCGUCAGCUCGUGCCGUGAGGUGUCGGCUUAAGUGCCAUAACGAGCGCAACCCUUGUUGUCAGUUACUAACAGGUUCCGCUGAGGACUCUGACAAGACUGCCAUCGUAAGAUGUGAGGAAGGUGGGGAUGACGUCAAAUCAGCACGGCCCUUACGUCCGGGGCUACACACGUGUUACAAUGGGGGGUACAGAGGGCCGCUACCACGCGAGUGGAUGCCAAUCCCCAAAACCUCUCUCAGUUCGGACUGGAGUCUGCAACCCGACUCCACGAAGCUGGAUUCGCUAGUAAUCGCGCAUCAGCCACGGCGCGGUGAAUACGUUCCCGGGCCUUGUACACACCGCCCGUCAAGCCAUGGGAGCCGGGGGUACCUGAAGUGCGUAACCGCGAGGAGCGCCCUAGGGUAAAACUGGUGACUGGGGCUAAA
rnacentral:rRNA from 1 species